rnacentral:tRNA from 1 species
GCCGAUGUAGCUCAGUCGGUAGAGCACUCCCAUGGUAAGGGAAAGGUCGUCGGUUCAAUUCCGACCAUCGGCUCCG